GAUGAACGCUAGCGGCAGGCCUAAUACAUGCAAGUCGAACGGUGUCUUCGGACAUAGUGGCGCACGGGUGCGUAACACGUAUGCAACCUACCUUACAUUGGGGGAUAGCCUUUCGAAAGGGAGAUUAAUACCGCAUAAGACAGUAGCUGGGCAUCCAGCAGCUGUUAAAGAUUUAUCGAUGUAAGCUGGGCAUGCGUCCAAUUAGCUAGUUGGUGAGGUAACGGCUCACCAAGGCAAUGAUUGGUAGGGGAACUGAGAGGUCAAUCCCCCACACUGGCACUGGGAUACGGGCCAGACUCCUGCGGGAGGCAGCAGUAGGGAAUAUUGGGCAAUGGACGCAAGUCUGACCCAGCCAUGCCGCGUGCAGGAUGAAGGCGUUAUGCGUUGUAAACUGCUUUUAUACAGGAAGAAACGACUCUUGCGAGAGGCAUUGACGGUACUGUAUGAAUAAGCACCGGCUAACUCCGUGCCAGCCGCCGCGGUAAAAC
rnacentral:rRNA from 1 species